AGAGUUUGAUCAUGGCUCAGAUUGAACGCUGGCGGCAUGCUUUACACAUGCAAGUCGAACGGCAGCACGGGCUUCGGCCUGGUGGCGAGUGGCGAACGGGUGAGUAAUGCAUCGGAACGUACCGUGUAGUGGGGGAUAACGUAGCGAAAGUUACGCUAAUACCGCAUACGCCCCGAGGGGGAAAGUGGGGGGACCGCAAGGCCUCACGCUAUAUGAGCGGCCGAUGUCGGAUUAGCUAGUUGGUGGGUAAAGGCCUACCAAGGCGACGAUCCGUAGCGGGUCUGAGAGGAUGAUCCGCCACACUGGGACUGAGACACGGCCCAGACUCCUACGGGAGGCAGCAGUGGGGAAUUUUGGACAAUGGGGGCAACCCUGAUCCAGCCAUGCCGCGUGAGUGAAGAAGGCCUUCGGGUUGUAAAGCUCUUUCAGACGGAAAGAAAUCGCAUCUUCUAAUACAGGGUGUGGAUGACGGUACCGUAAGAAGAAGCACCGGCUAACUACGUG
rnacentral:rRNA from 1 species